rnacentral:misc_RNA from 1 species
GGGAAUUGUUCUAUAUUUUGAUUGUUGAUUUUUAUUUUCACUAAUUGGGAAAUUUUGUCGAUUAGGUUCUUUAAUUUUGUUGUAUUUUGCUUGGAAUUUGUUGUUUACUAAAAUCUUAAUUUGGUUUUUCUUAAUUAACUCAAAGGUUUCGUUUUUCCCAUUAGGAGCUUAAUUUAUUGAACAAAUUGUUUAUCUUUCUGCAAUUUGGCGUGUUCUUCCUAGGCUUUUAUCUUUUACGUGGAUGCAAUAAUUUCUUUGUUUAAAUGAAAUUAGGUUUUCAAUUCACAGCUCUGUAUAUAUUGCAAAUCUCAAAAUAGCUGAUCUGGUGUUGGUGUGGUGAUAGAAGCAGAAAUCAUGCCGAAGAAUAAGGGAAAGGGAGGUAAGAAUAGGAAGAGAGGAAAGAACGAAGCAGAUGAUGAGAAACGUGAGCUUAUCUUCAAGGAAGAUGGGCAGGAAUAUGCCCAAGUGCUUCGCAUGCUUGGUAAUGGCCGUUGUGAAGCCAUGUGUAUUGAUGGCUCCAAGCGUCUAUGUCACAUUCGUGGGAAGAUGCACAAGAAGGUUUGGAUUGCAGCUGGUGAUAUCAUACUUGUUGGGCUGCGUGACUACCAGGAUGACAAGGCUGAUGUUAUCUUGAAGUAUAUGCCAGAUGAAGCUAGGCUUCUAAAGGCCUAUGGUGAACUUCCUGAGAGUACACGUCUCAAUGAGGGUAUUGCUGGAGGUCUUGAUGAGGAGGAUGAUGGUGCUGGUGAUGAUUAUAUUGAGUUUGAGGAUGAAGAUAUUGAUAAGAUCUAGAAUUUGGGAACUGAUUCUGUUUCUAUUUUAUGUUUAGUUAUGAAGAGAGAUGGUUCAUGAGAGUGGCUAAUGAUAUUAAAAUGCCCAAACGAGGGUUUGUGCUUUAUAAAUUGGAAUUUGAGAUGCUAAACUGAUCAUGUUUCAUAUAAUACCUGUUGUUAUCACUUUUAAUGGUCCUCAUGUGCCCUUGUUUUCAUGAUUUUUUCUGCUCUUAUGAUUUGUUUCUUUCUUUGUGUAUUCUUGUUGAAAAUAGGUAUUUUAAGGUUUUGGUUAGUUGUCAGCUUUUGGUGCUGAUUUGCUUUCAAUUAAUAAGGAGCAGCAGCAGGAACAGGGGAGCCUGUUUUGGAAAUUAAUAGAUGUUUCAUAAAUUGCUAAACAUAGGGUUGAUGUCCAAAGGCUUCUUAAAAGGCAAGUGUCAUGUCAAAUAUUAUUUUUUCAUUUCUCAGGUCAAGUGAAUUGCAUUUGAAUGCCAUUUUAUGAUUCUAGAAUGUUUAUCAAUUUGACAUAAUAACUCUUAAGAAGCUCCAUUACAAGGCGAAGUUUGAAGUCACACACAAGUGAAAUGGACAGCAAGUAGUAGGACAAAGUUCCUUGGCUGAUGAAGUCACUCGAGAAAUUAUACAAGAAGCUAAAAGCCUAAAGCAGUUGCUAAGAAGAGGCAUCUUUGCAAUUGAUUUCCUUCUUGUUGCUGUUCUCUUUAUUUUGCUCACUCUCCUUUUGGCAUUCUUUCUUGAUAAUCUAUACCACAUAUUAUUAGAACAAAAAAGGAGGAUUGAAACAAACUGAUUUAUCAUGUCAAGACAAGCUGUCAAAUUCAGGUAUAACAUCAAGUAAUUCUGACCUUGCUAUGCACUUUCAGGCAUUGGUUGCUUGGUGCUGUUUUCCGCCUUGAUAUGGUUCUUGUAGACUUGAGCCUAUUCCUGGUAGUUGUUAAGCCAUCAUUGUGAUUUGCUGAAGUCAUUGAUAAGCUAUCAAAUUGUAGAGAAACCUCAUUAGAUCCACAGCUCUCCAUUUCUUCUGCUACAUCAAAAAAUCUCUUUCUAGCUGGCACUCUGUGACUGCAGCUUUGUGGCUCGUAUGGCUUACUUGUCCGACUUUCGACUGAGCAUUCUGAAAGUCGGGUUGCCAUCCACCUUUCUAGCCAGCUCCAACCCAUAUUGGGUUCUGUAUCAUCAGAUCUCGUCUGUUUUCUCUUUGAACAGAUUCUUAGCUGUUGUGCAAAAGCAUAAGCCAGUGCCCUCUCGCGUCUGUUUGUUGCUUCCAUCCUGUUCUGAAUCCUCAUUUUGGUUAUAUUGCUGCUCACUGUGCUAUCAUCCCAGUCUUCCUGUGAUAACUCAAAUGUGGUAAAUCAUAUAUCUAUUUGUGCAGGUAUUAUUUAGUAAAGGAAUGCACAACAAUUUGCAGCCUUACCUUUAUCUUCAAAACCUGAGUUCUGGCUUUCUUUGGCAUCCGAUGAUGACCAACCGCAUUUUCCAGUUUAACUGACAGAACUUCCACGGAAUUUCCAGUCUGAACUUCGAUUGAUGUGCCUACAGAAGCUCUACUUGGACUUUCCAUUUCAAUAACAGGCUCCUUACCAUUGUUUGAUUUAAUUUCUUCGCUCAGACGACUAGCCAGAUAGUUUCUGAAUGCUGACUGGAUGAUGAUUGCCGCAUCUUCUUGCUGGAAUAAGUUGGAAGUUGAAUUAUGCUUUUCCUUGACAGUAUCUUCUUUGGGAAUUUCCUCUUGCACAGGCUGUGUAACUGUGGCCUCUGAGCUCUUGAUUGAAGCUGAAUCUUCCUUUGCAAUAACUGAAUUAAACUCAUCACCGCAGAGGUAUGAUCUAACAACACUCCACCUUCUCUUGUCACCUGUACUGCUUCUACCACUAUUAUUGCUUUCAUGAGUUCCAACAGAGCGGUUUCUAGAGAAGACACUCUUAACCAAUUCUCCAGUGAUACCCAUUUUCCACCUAGUAAUCCCAAGCCAACAUGCACUCAAGAUAGGCUGUCUGCAGUUUAUAUUGAAACCAUGCAAAGGUACUGAUAUCCCUUUAAUUACUACUGAUAUUGAAGAAAAGAUUGAAACCUGCAAGUGACAUAUUUCACUAGGUCAUCUUCAGUACAAUAAUAAAAGGGCUGACUGGUGUGGUCUGGUCUGGAAUAUGUUACAAGAUAUUGAUCUUAUAAUAAUGCAUAUGUUAGCUGUAAUGAAGUGGAUAAUCAGCAAGGUUUACAGAGCAUUGGAGCUGGAAUUUGGGCACUAAAUCACAAAAAAUAAUUAGUUGUACUAGUAAUAAUAGAGACUGAAAAGUAAAAGAUUAGAUAGAAAGGAUUGAUGGUUUUUGAGCAGUGCACAAUUUUAUUUGCUUUUACAUCCACUUUUUGCACAUGGGUCGUAGCAGAUUGGCCAAAAUAAAGUUUGCUUUGCUUGCUGCUGGGGCUAUGUCUGUAUUCCACUCCUUUUUUUGGGUUUCUGCUCCUGCCCUCAAGUGGCCCUUCUCUUAUUCUAUUGACUUGAAAAACAUGUCAAUGAUUUUGGAGACUUGAGAAUAACAUGCAACUAAAGCAUCUUAUAGCAAGGGACUGUUUGGUUUUGAUCGUUUCUUUGUGUGCUUUAUCAGGUUCAACCAUAUUUCUGUCUUUGAGCUUCUGAUUAGCUUUCAGACCAAAGAUUUUCUCAUGUAUUGUUGUGGUACAGUGAGAACAAAUGCCUUGUGCUUGUGGGCUUUUGUUUUAGAUUCAAGUAACUUGCACUUUUGCUUGUAAUAUGGGAAAAAGAUUGAUCAUGACUUGCUGCUGUUUUUGCAUAUAUUCAAGUAACUUGCACUU